AAUAACAGUUGGAAACGACUGCUAAUGCUUUAUAUGCCUCUAUCACAUAAGUGAGCGAGGGAAAGAAUUUCGGUAAGGGAUCGGCCUGUACGGUAUCAGCUAGUUGGUGAGGUAAUGGCUCACCAAGGCAAUGACAUCUAACUGGUUUGAGAGGAUGAUCAGUCACACUGGAACUGAGACACGGUCCAGACUCCUACGGGAGGCAGCAGUGGGGAAUAUUGCACAAUGGAGGAAACUCUGAUGCAGCAACGCCGCGUGGAGGAUGACACAUUUCGGUGCGUAAACUCCUUUUAUAUAAGAAGAUAAUGACGGUAUUAUAUGAAUAAGCUCCGGCUAACUCCGUGCCAGCAGCCGCGGUAAUACGGGGGGAGCAAGCGUUACUCGGAAUCACUGGGCGUAAAGAGCAUGUAGGCUGGUAGAAAAAGUAGAAGUGAAAUCCUGUGGCUUAACCAUAGAACUGCUUCUAAACUCUCUACCUAGAAAUAUGGAGAGGUAGAUGGAAUUUCUGGUGUAGGGGUAAAAUCCGUAGAGAUCAGAAGGAAUACCGAUUGCGAAGGCGAUCUACUGGAACAUUAUUGACGCUGAGAUGCGAAAGCGUGGGGAGCCAACAGGGAUAGAUACCCUGGGAAGCCACGCCCCUAACGAUGCACACUAGUUGUUGCGAUGCUAAACAUUGCAGUAAUGCAGUUAACACAUUAAGUGUGCCGCCCUGGGAGACGGGGCGCAGAAAAAACCCCAAGGAAAAGACGGGACCCCGCCAGCGGUGGAGCUGUGGUUUAAUUCACCAAACCCAAAAACCUUACCUGGCCU
rnacentral:rRNA from 1 species